CAGACUCACCUCACACAGAGCCCCGUGUCGGCAUCUUCAGGCUGAGUCGACCUCGAGGAUGCCCAGACAGGGUUCAGAUUUUUCCCGCCAUUCGCCCCGACCGGAAGCGGAAGUAGAAGCUGGGGGUGGAGGUGGGGGUCGCCGAAAGAGGCGGGGCGGGAGGCGGCUUCCGGGGGCGUGGUCUCGCACUGGCACGUCACUCGUAGGGGCGUGGCUGACAGCAACGGUGACGUCGCAACACCACGUGCUUCCUCACAGUUCGAGACGGGAGUGAAGGAAACGGCCGCUUCUCAAAUUUCAGCUGCUUCAGCUUCAUCAUCUUCGUCCAACUUCUGCUGAAGCCAUCCGUGCCAAACCUUUGACGAGCUUUCCACACAGAGACCUUGGGGACUGCUGCGUGAGCAAAGCCACUCUGAGCAUCAGCACCAUGGAGACGAGCCAAGCUGGAGCGAGAAGGAGGGAGGGAGUCUCUGACAACACGUGGAGCGCGCUGUCAGCAGCCGGCACCGGCCCUAUCCACAGUAAAUCGCCUCGAGGUGAGAACAGCAGUGAGCAAACAUGUCCAUCGGUGAAUGGGGGGAAGUCACUACCGCCAUUUUGCAUGGAGGACUUCACGGUGGCCAUGUUGCUUAGGGGACUUUAUGGCAGCCAUGUUGCACGGGUGACUUCAUUGUGGCAAUUUUGCAUGGGGGAUGUCACGGCAGCCAUGUUGCAUGGGGUAAAUUACUAUGGCCAUGUUGCAUGGGGGACGUCACUCUGGACAUGUUACGUGGGGGAUUUCACGGUGGCCAUGAUGCAUGGCAGUCUAUAGGAUGGCCACGUUGCAUGAGGGAUAUCACAGCGGCCAUGUUGCAUGGGGGUUGUCAUGGUGGCCAUGUGAGAUGGGGGAUGUCACGGCAGCAAUGUUGCGUGAGGGAUGUAACUUCGGCUAUGUUGCAAGGGGGACUUUAUUGCGGCCAUGUUGCAUGAGGGCUGUCCUGAUGGCCAUGUUGCAUGGGGGAUGUCACGUCAGCCAUAUUGGAUGGGGGUUGUCAUGGUGGGCAUGUUACAUGGGUAUAUAGUAUUUGGCUGCCGCGAUAUAUUUCCACGUGAUGAAGAUGAUGAUGAUGAUAUCAGCCACUUCGGUGGGGCCUUACCUGCCAAUAUAAGAAAAUAUAUAUAUACAUAUAGUUUAGUUUUACAAUGGGUCCCUCUGGGUGUCUAUUGUUCGAUAUGAGCAUGGAUCUCUGUGGGUCUCUAUGGAUCUAUAUAAGUAUGGGUCUCUAUGGGUCUCUGUGGGUCUCUAUGGUUCGA